CUCAUUGGUGUCUAUACCAAAUAUGAUCAGUGAAGGGUCGUGUCCAAUGUGAAAAGAGGGCAUGGCUGGUAGUACAUACUGGAGCAGGAAUCCCUACUGAUAUACAUACAGCAUCACUGCAGCAUCACUGCUUACUUCAGGAUCACCAGUGGUCUGUCCUACAUUGAUCCCAUUGGUGUUGUCAUGGGGUGACUGGUACUGUGCUUGAAAACCAUGUUGAAUGCGUUACUACCCUAUUGUUCCCUGCCACAUUCGAAGGUCCACAAUCUGGAGACCACUGAUGUAGGAUCAUCAUGAAACCAGGACAUUAACCCAAGUGGAUCAAACCAACUGGACUGAAAAAAUUGGAGGCUGCCAUGUCCAGAACUUUUAUUGUAUUAUAAAUGAAGGCAAUAGAUGCAAACGCUUCAGCCUCAAGAUAUUUUAUGCCCCUUGUCUCUUACAAUGAGUUAUUUCCAGCUAAUAGAGAUUAUUGUUGUAGGAUCACCAGUGGUCUGUCCUACAUUGAUCCCAUUGGUGUUGUCAUGGGAUGACUGCUACUGGGCUUGAGAGCCAUGUUGCAUGUGUUACUACCCUAUUGUUUCCUGUCAAAGCCCUGCCACAUCCGGAGGUCCACAGUUUGGAGACCACUGAUGUAGGGUCAUCAGUAAACCAGGACAUUAACCCAAGUUGAUCUAACCAACUGGACUGAGAAAAUUGGAGUCCGCCAUGUCCAGAAAUUGACUACGACAUUGUAUUGUUAAUAAAGGCAAUAGAAGCGAACGGUUCAGCCACAAAAUAUUUUACGCCCCUGUCUUUUACGAUGAGUUAUUCUCUAGCAAAUAAAUGAAUAAUCUGCUUCUCACAGCGCGAAUAACUUAGUC